AUUGAACGCUGGCGGCAGGCUUAACACAUGCAAGUCUAACGAGUGGCGGACGGGUGAGUAAUGCUUGGGAAUAUAGCUUAUGGAGGGGGAUAACUACGGGCAACUGUAGCUAAUACCGCGUACCCUAGGAUGAGCCCAAGUGGGAUUAGGUAGUUGGGGAGGUAAAGGCUCACCAAGCCGACGACCUCUAGCUGGUCUGAGAGGAUGACAAGCCAACCUGGAACUGAGACACGGCCCAGACGCCUACGGGAGGCAGCAGUGGGGAAUAUUGCGCGAUGGGGGCAACCUGACGCAGCCAGGCCGCGUGAAUGAAGAAGGCCUUCGGGUUGUAAAGUUCUUUCGGUGGCGAGGCGUUAACUACAGAAGAAGCACCGGCUAACUCCGUGCCAGCAGCCGCGGUAAUAC
rnacentral:rRNA from 1 species